GGACCCGCACAAGUAGUGGAGCAUGUGGUUUAAUUCGAAGAUACGCGCAGAACCUUACCAACACUUGACAUGUUCGUCGCGACUUUAAGAGAUUAAAGUUUUCGGUUCGGCCGGACGAAACACAGGUGCUGCAUGGCUGUCGUCAGCUCGUGUCGUGAGAUGUUGGGUUAAGUCCCGCAACGAGCGCAACCCUCACUUUUAGUUGCCAUCAUUAAGUUGGGCACUCUGAAAGAACUGCCAGUGAUAAGCUGGAGGAAGGUGGGGAUGACGUCAAGUCCUCAUGGCCCUUACGUGUUGGGCUACACACGUGCUACAAUGGUAUCUACAACAGGAAGCAAAACUGCGAGGUUAAGCAAAUCCUCAAAAGAUACCUCAGUUCGGAUUGCACUCUGCAACUCGAGUGCAUGAAGCUGGAAUUACUAGUAAUCGUGGAU
rnacentral:rRNA from 1 species